AUACUUACCUGACGGGUGAUACCAUGAUCACGAAGGUGGUUUACCCAGGGCAAGGCUUAUCCAUUGCACUCCGGAUGUGCUGACCCCUGCAAUUUCCCCAAAUGUGGGAACUCAACUGCAUAAGUUGUGGUAGUGGGGGCCUGUGUUCGCGCCCUCCCCUU
ensembl:snRNA U1 U1 spliceosomal RNA